rnacentral:rRNA from 1 species
GACGAACGCUGGCGGCGUGCUUAACACAUGCAAGUCGAACGGAAAGGCCUUGUUUUUGUGGGGUGCUGGAGUGGCGAACGGGUGAGUAACACGUGAGUAACCUGCCCUUGACUUUGGGUUAACUUCAGGAAACUGGGGCUAAUACCGGAUAGGAGCUCCUGCUGCAUGGUGGGGGUUGGAAAGUUUCGGGGGUGGGGGAUGGACUCGCGGCUUUUCAGCUUGUUGGUGGGGUAGUGGCUUACCAAGGCUUUGACGGGUAGCCGGCCUGAGAGGGUGACCGGCCACAUUGGGACUGAGAUACGGCCCAGGCUCCUACGGGAGGCAGCAGUGGGGAAUAUUGCACAAUGGGCGGAAGCCUGAUGCAGCAACGCCGCGUGCGGUAUGACGGCCUUCGGGUUGUAAACCGCUUUCGCCUGUGACGAAGCGUGAGUGACGGUAAUGGGUAAAGAAGCACCGGCUAACUACGUG